rnacentral:rRNA from 1 species
GACGAACGCUGGCGGCGUGCUUAACACAUACAAGUCGAACGGUAAGGCUCCAGCUUGCUGGGGUACACGAGUGGCGAACGGGUGAGUAACACGUGGGUGACCUGCCCUGCACUUCGGGAUAAGCCUGGGAAACUGGGUCUAAUACCGGAUAGGACCGCACCGUGAGGGUGUGGUGGAAAGUUUUUUCGGUGUGGGAUGGGCCCGCGGCCUAUCAGCUUGUUGGUGGGGUAAUGGCCUACCAAGGCGGCGACGGGUAGCCGGCCUGAGAGGGUGGACGGCCACAUUGGGACUGAGACACGGCCCAGACUCCUACGGGAGGCAGCAGUGGGGAAUAUUGCACAAUGGGCGGAAGCCUGAUGCAGCGACGCCGCGUGGGGGAUGACGGCCUUCGGGUUGUAAACUCCUUUCACCAUCGACGAAGGGUUUCUGACGGUAGAUGGAGAAGAAGCACCGGCUAACUACGUGCCAGCAGCCGCGGUAAUACGUAGGGUGCGAGCGUUGUCCGGAAUUACUGGGCGUAAAGAGCUCGUAGGUGGUUUGUCGCGUCGUCUGUGAAAUUCCGGGGCUUAACUCCGGGCGUGCAGGCGAUACGGGCAUAACUUGAGUACUGUAGGGGAGACUGGAAUUCCUGGUGUAGCGGUGAAAUGCGCAGAUAUCAGGAGGAACACCGGUGGCGAAGGCGGGUCUCUGGGCAGUAACUGACGCUGAGGAGCGAAAGCAUGGGGAGCGAACAGGAUUAGAUACCCUGGUAGUCCAUGCCGUAAACGGUGGGCGCUAGGUGUGGGUUUCCUUCCACGGGAUCCGUGCCGUAGCUAACGCAUUAAGCGCCCCGCCUGGGGAGUACGGCCGCAAGGCUAAAACUCAAAGGAAUUGACGGGGGCCCGCACAAGCGGCGGAGCAUGUGGAUUAAUUCGAUGCAACGCGAAGAACCUUACCUGGGCUUGACAUAUACAGGAUCGCGCCAGAGAUGGUGUUUCCCUUGUGGCUUGUAUACAGGUGGUGCAUGGUUGUCGUCAGCUCGUGUCGUGAGAUGUUGGGUUAAGUCCCGCAACGAGCGCAACCCUUGUCUUAUGUUGCCAGCACGUUGUGGUGGGGACUCGUAAGAAACUGCCGGGGUUAACUCGGAGGAAGGUGGGGAUGACGUCAAAUCAUCAUGCCCCUUAUGUCCAGGGCUUCACACAUGCUACAAUGGUCGGUACAGUGGGUUGCCAGUCCGUGAGGGCGAGCUAAUCCCGCAAAGCCGGUCUCAGUUCGGAUCGGGGUCUGCAACUCGACCCCGUGAAGUCGGAGUCGCUAGUAAUCGCAGAUCAGCAACGCUGCGGUGAAUACGUUCCCGGGCCU